GCAUCGUUGUUUCUCUGUUCAUUGGAUGCAUUUGAUCGCGACACUGAUAUCGGAAAGAAACUAUUGACUAUCAAAAGUUUUUACAAGCAUAUUAAACACUAUCGAACGACUAUCAAACGAUUGGAAUAAAAAAAAGUUUAAAAAAUAAAGGUUGGCCGGCCAACUUCACGCAGGUGAUCACUUGACUGGUGUCUUGUGUCAAUUGUGACAGGAGUGUCGAGUUUGUCAAAACUAUCACAUUACACGACCAAAGUAUUCAAUUUCUUAAUUAUCAUGGAGGAAAACACAACUUGUGAUUUAGCCAAUGUUAUAUUGGACGAACGCAUGAGAGCUAUAGUAGAAAAUGGAAACAAGACUACCAGGCGACCAAAGCGAGUGUUACAUUUCUCAGACGGUGUUAUAGAAGAAUAUUCUUCAGAAGAUGAGACAGACAACAUAGAAAACAAUAAUCAGCUAUCCACCAUUGAUCCGAAGUCACUGAAUUGGGUACCCUGGGUAUGGUAUCAAACUGUUUGGGCCAGCUCUAAGAUGUUGAAUGGAUGCGAUUAUGUGGGAGAAUACUUGGCAAAUUUUUUUGGUAUCACAUCACCUAAAUACCAAUUUGAAAUAAAUGAGUAUCAUCGAAUGCAAGCAUACGAAAACGAGAUGCUACGUAAGGAGGAUCUGGAAAUGGGUGGUUGGAAUGAACAGAAGCGAAAUAACCUUAUCAAAGACAAUAAGGUAGAAGAACAUCAACAGAGGUUCUAAGCGUGUUUGGCUUUUGGCUGACAGCUUCCUGAAAGAAUUAGUGUGCUGUGUAUUGGGAAAACGGACCUGAGCAAUGUGCCUUGCUGCUUAUUAGAACGAUACUAGUAAUAUUUAAAUCAAGAAUGUCUGAGGGAAGUUGUAUUUAUCUUUUCAGCCAUGAAUCACAGAUCUUCUGAUGCUCUAACAUCUACGUUAACAUGGGUCCAGCAGAUGUUUCAUUGUAGGAUGCAAUCUUAUCGAUGGAUGACUCUAUUAAUGCACCAUUGCAAUUAUUGUCUGCUAUCCAAAAUGGAUAAGAAACAAUUCCGUUUAUUCAGCUUAACAUUCACAGAGAAUCAUAUUUUAUAUGAUGAAAAAGGCAAGCCCUUAAUGUAUUCAAUUUUUGAACACCUUUAUACCAAUAAUAUUGUAUUGUAUAUUUAUAUAUGUAUAUACAGGGUGUUCGUUAUGAAACGCACUGUAGUAACAUCAUUGCAUUCCUUGUCAAAUUCCAAAGAA